GGAUUGGGAGGGUUCUACGGAACCCGUUUGGUGAAUCUAGUGCCGAGAAAAGCCUUCUAUGUGUUGAAUUUCUAGUACCCGUACCCCAAACCGACACAGGUGGGUGGGUAGAGCAUACCUAGGGGCGCGUGAUAACUCUCUCUAAGGAACUCGGCAAAAUGGCCCUGUAACUUCGGGAUAAGGGGUGCCUGCGUGAGCAGGCCGCAGUGAAAUGGCUCUGGCGACUGUUUACCAAAAACACAGGUCUCUGCUAAGUCGUAAGACGAUGUAUAGGGGCUGACUCCUGCCCAGUGCCGGAAGGUUAAGGAAGUUGGUUAGCGCAAGCGAAGCUGGCGACCGAAGCCCCGGUGAACGGCGGCCGUAACAAUAACGGUCCUAAGGUAGCGAAAUUCCUUGUCGGGUAAGUUCCGACCCGCACGAAAGGAGUAACGAUCAGAGCGCUGUCUCGGAGAGAGACACGGCGAAAUAGGAUUGUCCGUGAAAAUACGGACUACCUGCACCCGGACAGAAAGACCCUAUGAAGCUUUACUGUAACUUGGAAUUGUGUUCGGACUUUGUCUGCGCAGAAUAGGUGGGAGGCUAUGAAACGUUCCUCGCGGGGAACUGGAGCCAUCGUUGAGAUACCACUCUGGCAGAGUCUGGAUUCUAACCUACGGGGACAGUUCCAGGUGGGCAGUUUGACUGGGGCGGUCGCCUCCUAAAAUAUAACGGAGGCGCGCAAUGUUCCCUCAGGCUGGUUGGAAAUCAGCCAUAGAGUGUAAAAGCAUAAGGGAGCUUGACUGUGAGACCUACAAGUCGAGCAGGGACGAAAGUCGGCUUUAGUGAUCCGACGGCACUGAGUGGAAGGGCCGUCGCUCAACGGAUAAAAGUUACUCUAGGAUAACAGGCUGAUCACCCCCAAGAGUUCACAUCGACGGGGAGGUUUGGCACCUCGAUGUCGGCUCGUCGCAACCUGGGGCGGUAGUACGUCCCAAGGGUUGGGCUGUUCGCCCAUUAAAGCGGCACGUGAGCUGGGUUCAGAACGUCGUGAGACAGUUCGGUCCAUAUCCGGUGUAGGCGUAGGAGCAUUGAAAGGAUCUCUCCUUAGUACGAGAGGACCGGGAGGGACGUACCUCUGGUGUACCUGUUAUCGUGCCAACGGUAAACGCAGGGUAGCCAUGUACGGAGUGGAUAACCGCUGAAAGCAUCUAAGUGGGAAGCCCACCUUAAGAUGAGUGCUCCCUUGAGGCCACGGGAAGACGACCCGUUUGAUAGGCGCUAGGUGGAAGUGCAGUAAUGCAUGCAGCCGAGGCGUACUAAUAGGCCGAUGGCUUGUCC
rnacentral:rRNA from 1 species